rnacentral:rRNA from 1 species
UUGAACGCUGGCGGCAGGCCUAACACAUGCAAGUCGAGCGGAUGAAGGGAGCUUGCUCCUGGAUUCAGCGGCGGACGGGUGAGUAAUGCCUAGGAAUCUGCCUGGUAGUGGGGGAUAACGUCCGGAAACGGGCGCUAAUACCGCAUACGUCCUGAGGGAGAAAGUGGGGGAUCUUCGGACCUCACGCUAUCAGAUGAGCCUAGGUCGGAUUAGCUAGUUGGUGGGGUAAAGGCCUACCAAGGCGACGAUCCGUAACUGGUCUGAGAGGAUGAUCAGUCACACGGGAACUGAGACACGGUCCAGACUCCUACGGGGGGCAGCAGGGGGGAAUAUUGGACAAAGGGCGAAGGCCUGACCCAGCCAUGCCGGGUGUGUGAAGAAGGUCUUCGGAUUGUAAAGCACUUUAAUUUGGGAGGAAGGGCAGUAAGUUAUUACCUUGCUUUUUGGACUUUACCAAAAGAAAAAGCCCCGGCUAACUUCGUC